rnacentral:ncRNA from 2 species
AUGCCGCACUCUGGAGAGCGGCACCCGCCAUCAAUGGCGAGCGUGCCCACCGAAGGGGCGCGCGAGGAUCGGAUCCAACGGAUCGGCCUCGUAAUCUCUCAGGUAUCGAGGACAGAGGGGUCAUC